rnacentral:rRNA from 1 species
GACAGAGGCCUCAAGCGUUAGGCGGAAUCACUGGGCUUAAAGCGUGUGUAGGCGGAUCGUUAAGUGUCUUGUGAAAUCCCACGGCUCACCCGUGGAACGGCUGGGCAUACUGGCGAUCUUGGGCCAACUAGGGGCAACUGGAACAAGCGGUGGAGCGGUGAAAUGCGUAGAUAUCGCUUGGAACGCCGAAGGUGAAAACAGUCUGCUGGGGGUGUGCCGACGCUGAGACACGAAAGCCAGGGGAGCGAACGGG